GUGGGGAAUCUUGCGCAAUGGGCGAAAGCCUGACGCAGCCAUGCCGCGUGAAUGAUGAAGGUCUUAGGAUUGUAAAAUUCUUUCACCGGGGACGAUAAUGACGGUACCCGGAGAAGAAGCUCCGGCUAACUUCGUGCCAGCAGCCGCGGUAAUACGAAGGGGGCUAGCGUUGCUCGGAAUUACUGGGCGUAAAGGGCGCGUAGGCGGACAGCUUAGUCAGAGGUGAAAGCCCAGGGCUCAACCUUGGAAUUGCCUUUGAUACUGGCUGUCUUGAGUUUGGGAGAGGUGAGUGGAACUCCAAGUGUAGAGGUGAAAUUCGUAGAUAUUCGGAAGAACACCAGUGGCGAAGGCGACUCACUGGCCCAAUACUGACGCUGAGGCGCGAAAGCGUGGGGAGCAAACAGGAUUAGAUACCCUUGUAGUCC
rnacentral:rRNA from 1 species